rnacentral:rRNA from 1 species
UGCCAGCCGCCGCGGUAAUACGGAGGGUGCAAGCGUUGUUCGGAAUUACUGGGCGUAAAGCGCGCGUAGGUGGUUUGUUAAGUCAGAUGUGAAAGUCCACGGCUCAACCGUGGAAGUGCAUUUGAAACUGGCAGACUUGAGUAUUGGAGGGGGUAGUGGAAUUCCCGGUGUAGAGGUGAAAUUCGUAGAUAUCGGGAGGAAUACCGGUGGCGAAGGCGACUACCUGGCCAAAUACUGACACUGAGGUGCGAAAGCGUGGGGAGCAAACAGGAUUAGAUA